ensembl:lncRNA
UGAAGAACUCAGUGCAUUUUAUUCGUCAACCUGGAGUCCACUUGCUGGAGUUCAAAGUCCCAACUUUCCUCAGAACUCUAACCACUCCAUUCAUCCUUCUUGGUCCUAAGACUUGAAGGCAGAGGACAUCUGUAUGACUCCUCUUCCUGUUUCCCUCAACAGUUUGUUCAUUCCUUCCUAAGGAAUAGUGCCCAGGACCUUGAACCUCAUGACCCUGUUAAAUCUUGAAUGUCUGAUUAGUGGAGGGGCCCUAGAAAUGUUUUCAUUUGUUUGGUAACAUUUGCAAAAGCAAGGUAUGUUAACCAUGCCUGGUCAAGCCCAAUGACUUUUCCAUUUUAAGUUUCCUCUGACGAUCUUCCUCAUGCUGGAGUUGGAGCAACUACAGAUACUUUUUGGAUAUGACUAGGGGGAUGUAGUAGAAUGAUGUAUUUAUGUGUCUUGCAUAGGUACAUGCAGUGGAGUAAUUACAAGACAUCAUUGCCUGAGUCUUCCUAUUGCCCACGGGGGCCCUAACCUGAAGGUGUGGGGUUCGAGGUGGUGCCCUGACAGGUUGUGUCAGCCUGUGGUGACUGACGCUGGAUGCACAUAAGUACUGGAGGAAAAGCUUCUUCCCUAGAUACCUCUCUUAGAACAGUGCCUUGAACCUAACAGUUGUGCAGUCACCUUUUGUGAAUGAAGAAGCAGAUGAAUGCAUGAACACACACCCAGGACAAGCUUUAUGGUCCACUCAGCAGAUGAAGCCAACCCUGAAGAGAAACACUGUGUUCUAUGUCCAGUAAAGCCUUGGGCCUCUUGGUAGCUGUUGGGGUUGACUGGAUGUCAGUUAGCAGGUGUCCGCCCCAACGCAAUGGUGCAGUGUUUGGAGAGCGAAUGCUGACCUUCAAGACCAGGUGGCUCCACAGAGCUGGCUCCCAGUAACUCACACAGCCUCUCCCCUGCCUUGGAUGUGCCAGAACUUCAAAGCAAUGAGGAAGUAAUCAAGACACCUGCCUUGAGCUCUUUCUCCUCUGCAUCACCCCUCUGCCCUGCUGACCUGACUUGGAAACAGCCAACUAUGAACUGAAACCUCUACAAACUGUGAGCCAAAAUAAACCUCUCCUCCUUCAAUUUGUGGGUGUCCCGUAUUGCGUCCCAGCAAUGACAAGGAUCUCACUAUGCAGUUCAGGCUAGCAUUGAAGUCACUAUGUAUCCUAGACUGAUCUCAAACUCGAGGUGAUCUUCCUGCCUCAGCUUCCCUAGUGCUGGGACUACAGAGCAUCCCGACCACCUGAGAUGCCAGUGUGACCAGGCCAGGUGCCCAUGCCAACUGGGAAGACAAGAUUGUGCCUGCAUCCUCUGGUGCCUCUGUCCCACACCUGAGUACUCUCUUCAUGGGGAAACAAGGAAAGGCCUGAUAAGGGGCAGAAUGUGGACAACAUGCAAAACACAUUUCUUUCUCUGUCAACUUGGAUAGCACCAGCAGCGUUGGUGAUUUUUACCAUGACUGACAGAGUGACUCCUUUUGGCCAAGAUGGGCUUCGGUUUUGGAUCCUGUUUUUGUUUUUGGAUUUUUUCCUCUCUUUUCUAGUACAGCUUAAGCACUGCCUACAUUUGGUUUGACAAGUAAACCUUCAAAAUGCCAAACAGUGGCUUGGAGGAGGCCUGAAAUAAACAGAACGUGG